GACGAACGCUGGUGGCGUGCUUAACACAUGCAAGUCGAACGGAAAGGCCCUGCUUUUGUGGGGUGCUCGAGUGGCGAACGGGUGAGUAACACGUGAGUAGCCUGCCCUUGACUUUGGGAUAACUUCAGGAAACUGGGGCUAAUACCGGAUAGGAGCUCCUGCUGCAUGGUGGGGGUUGGAAAGUUUCGGCGGUUGGGGAUGGACUCGCGGCUUAUCAGCUUGUUGGUGGGGUAGUGGCUUACCAAGGCUUUGACGGGUAGCCGGCCUGAGAGGGUGACCGGCCACAUUGGGACUGAGAUACGGCCCAGACUCCUACGGGAGGCAGCAGUGGGGAAUAUUGCACAAUGGGCGGAAGCCUGAUGCAGCAACGCCGCGUGCGGGAUGACGGCCUUCGGGUUGUAAACCGCUUUCGCCUGUGACGAAGCGUGAGUGACGGUAAUGGGUAAAGAAGCACCGGCUAACUACGUG
rnacentral:rRNA from 1 species